UUGACAGCUCUGCUGGCGAAAAUCUGCUGUUUAUCCACAGAAGAGGAACGGCUUGUUCCUCUUGUGCUGCCGAGGCUUUCUCAUUCUCCUCACCUGCCUGCCGCUAGCCUGCUUUGAAGAAGCACCCCUAGGGCUCAAAGCACACUUCUGUCUCUAAGCUAAACUCAAUCCCUGAUUUCU
rnacentral:sRNA from 1 species